rnacentral:snRNA from 12 species
UGACUCUAACUCUUCCUCAAUUGUCGAAUGAAUCUUUCGCCUUUUACUAAAGAUUUCCGUGGGGGUAGAGUAAUGUUGAGUACAUAGUAAUUUUUUGUUAUGCCUAGCUCAAAAAGCCGG